rnacentral:rRNA from 1 species
UACGUAGGGUGCAAGCGUUGUCCGGAAUUAUUGGGCGUAAAGAGCUCGUAGGCGGUCUGUCGCGUCUGCUGUGAAAACUCAGGGCUUAACCCUGAGCUUGCAGUGGGUACGGGCAGACUAGAGUGCGGUAGGGGAGACUGGAAUUCCUGGUGUAGCGGUGAAAUGCGCAGAUAUCAGGAGGAACACCGGUGGCGAAGGCGGGGUCUCUGGGCCGUAACUGACGCUGAGGAGCGAAAGUGUGGGGAGCGAACAGG